GGGUUAUACGGGGGGAGUUCUGCUCGGCAUGAUAUCUUGGCAGAUAUUUGAUCUCCAUACAAGAUGAUUGGUUGAGAAAAAAUAGUAUGGGCAAAAGGUGAUUGAUAUACGGAGUAGAUAUGACAGCUAUCAUUGAUAUAUCAUCACCAGUUACCAUUGCUAGAUAUCAUUGCUAGAUAUCAUCGAUAGAUAUCAUUCAUUCAAGCAGGUGAGCAGAUAUAUAGGCAGAUAGGCAGUCAGAUAGUCAUCUAAUAAAUUAGCAUUGUCAGAUAGAUGAGUAGCUGAAUGAUGAUAUUUAUUCUCAUAGAGAUUGAUUGGCUAUUGAGCAGAGAGGUAGAUAGACAUAUAGAUAGAUAGACAGAU
rnacentral:sRNA from 2 species